AUCCAGCUGACAAGUCCCGAAUAGGACUAAACGCGGGUCAAACUGGAU
rnacentral:hammerhead_ribozyme from 1 species